rnacentral:ncRNA from 1 species
GCUAAAGCGAUGACCGGGACGAGUAUCUCGUUCUGGGGUUCCAGCGAGCCAGGGAUGGUGGGAGCCUGGUAAUACCCAGGGUGAGCAGAAAAUCCCCCGGGAGUGCCUCCAGAAAGCCUUUAGGGUGAGUAAGGAAGGCCGGAUGAGGACCGUUACUUCCUUAUCAAAAGAGCCCUUUUCACAACUGAAAGGGAAUCAGGGUGGUACCGCGGGAUACCUCUCGCCCCUAAA